rnacentral:rRNA from 1 species
GAUGAACGCUGGCGGCGUGCCUAAUACAUGCAAGUCGAGCGAACAGACGAGGCGCUUGCUCCUCUGACGUUAGCGGCGGACGGGUGAGUAACACGUGGAUAACCUACCUAUAAGACUGGGAUCACUUCGGGAAACCGGAGCUAAUACCGGAUAAUAUAUUGAACCGCAUGGUUCAAUAGUGAAAGACGGUUUUGCUGUCACUUAUAGAUGGAUCCGCGCCGCAUUAGCUAGUUGGUAAGGUAACGGCUUACCAAGGCUACGAUGCGUAGCCGACCUGAGAGGGUGGUCGGCCACACUGGAACUGAGACACGGUCCAGACUCCUACGGGAGGCAGCAGUAGGGAAUCUUCCGCAAUGGGCGAAAGCCUGACGGAGCAACGCCGCGUGAGUGAUGAAGGUCUUCGGAUCGUAAAACUCUGUUAUUAGGGAAGAACAAAUGUGUAAGUAACUAUGCACGUCUUGACGGUACCUAAUCAGAAAGCCACGGCUAACUACGUG